rnacentral:rRNA from 1 species
GACGAACGCUGGCGGCGUGCCUAAUACAUGCAAGUCGAACGCUGAAGGAGGAGCUUGCUUCUCUGGAUGAGUUGCGAACGGGUGAGUAACGCGUAGGUAACCUGCCUGGUAGCGGGGGAUAACUAUUGGAAACGAUAGCUAAUACCGCAUAAGAGUAGAUGUUGCAUGACAUUUGCUUAAAAGGUGCAAUUGCAUCACUACCAGAUGGACCUGCGUUGUAUUAGCUAGUUGGUGGGGUAACGGCUUACCAAGGCGACGAUACAUAGCCGACCUGAGAGGGUGAUCGGCCACACUGGGACUGAGACACGGCCCAGACUCCUACGGGAGGCAGCAGUAGGGAAUCUUCGGCAAUGGACGGAAGUCUGACCGAGCAACGCCGCGUGAGUGAAGAAGGUUUUCGGAUCGUAAAGCUCUGUUGUAAGAGAAGAACGAGUGUGAGAGUGGAAAGUUCACACUGUGACGGUAUCUUACCAGAAAGGGACGGCUAACUACGUG